ACGCUGGCGGCAGGCCUAACACAUGCAAGUCGAGCGGUAGAGAGAAGCUUGCUUCUCUUGAGAGCGGCGGACGGGUGAGUAAUGCCUAGGAAUCUGCCUGGUAGUGGGGGAUAACGUUCGGAAACGGACGCUAAUACCGCAUACGUCCUACGGGAGAAAGCAGGGGACCUUCGGGCCUUGCGCUAUCAGAUGAGCCUAGGUCGGAUUAGCUAGUUGGUGGGGUAAUGGCUCACCAAGGCGACGAUCUGUAACUGGUCUGAGAGGAUGAUCAGUCACACUGGAACUGAGACACGGUCCAGACUCCUACGGGAGGCAGCAGUGGGGAAUAUUGGACAAUGGGCGAAAGCCUGAUCCAGCCAUGCCGCGUGUGUGAAGAAGGUCUUCGGAUUGUAAAGCACUUUAAGUUGGGAGGAAGGGCAGUUACCUAAUACGUGAUUGUUUUGACGUUACCGACAGAAUAAGCACCGGCUAACUCUGUGCCAGCAGCCGCGGUAAUACAGAGGGUGCAAGCGUUAAUCGGAAUUACUGGGCGUAAAGCGCGCGUAGGUGGUUCGUUAAGUUGGAUGUGAAAUCCCCGGGCUCAACCUGGGAACUGCAUUCAAAACUGACGAGCUAGAGUAUGGUAGAGGGUGGUGGAAUUUCCUGUGUAGCGGUGAAAUGCGUAGAUAUAGGAAGGAACACCAGUGGCGAAGGCGACCACCUGGACUGAUACUGACACUGAGGUGCGAAAGCGUGGGGAGCAAAC
rnacentral:rRNA from 1 species